rnacentral:rRNA from 1 species
AGUCGAGCGCAUCCUUCGGGAUGAGCGGCGGACGGGUGAGUAACACGUGGGAACAUGCCCUUCACUGCGGAAUAGUCUCGGGAAACUGGGGGUAAUACCGCAUACGCCCUUCGGGGGAAAGAUUUAUCGGUGAAGGAUUGGCCCGCGUUGGAUUAGGUAGUUGGUGGGGUAACGGCCUACCAAGCCGACGAUCCAUAGCUGGUUUGAGAGGAUGAUCAGCCACACUGGGACUGAGACACGGCCCAGACUCC